rnacentral:rRNA from 1 species
GACGAACGCUGGCGGCGUGCCUAACACAUGCCAGUCGAACGGAAAGGCCCUGCUUUUGCGGGGUGCUCGAGUGGCGAACGGGUGUGUAACACGUGAGUAACCCGCCCUUGACUUUGGGAUAACUUCAGGAAACUGGGGAUAAUACCGGAUAGGAGCUCCUGCUGCAUGGGGGUGGUUGGAAAGUUUCGGCGGUUGGGGCUGGACUCGCGGCUUAUCAGCUUGUUGGUGGGGUAGUGGCUUACAAAGUCUUUGACGGGUAGCCGGCAUGGGAGCUUGACCAGCCACAAGAGGACUACGAGAGGGAGCAGUCGCGAACGGGAGGCAACGGUGGAGAAUAUGGCACAAUGAGCGGGAGUGUGUGGCAACGGUGCCGCGUGCGUAAUGACGGCUUACGGGUGAUGAACCGCUUUCGCCUGUGACAAAGCGGUAUUGACGGUACUGAGUAAAGAAGCACCGGCUAACUACGUG